AUGGCUGUCGUCAGCUCGUGUCGUGAGAUGUUGGGUUAAGUCCCGCAACGAGCGCAACCCCCGUCGCAUGUUGCCAGCAUUUAGUUGGGGACUUAUGCGAGACUGCCGGUGACAAACCGGAGGAAGGUGGGGAUGACGUCAAGUCAUCAUGCCCCUUAUGUCCAGGGCUACACACGUGCUACAUUGGCGCGUACAGAGGGCUGCGAUACCGCGAGGUGGAGCGAAUCCCUUAAAGCGCGUCUCGGUUCGGAUUGCAGGCUGAAACUCGCCUGCAUGAAGGCGGAGUUGCUAGUAAUCGCGGAUCAGCACUGCCGCGGUGAAUACGUUCCCGGGCCUUGUACACACCGCCCGUCACACCAUGGGAGUGAGCAACACCCGAAGCCGGUGGCCUAACCCUUUUGGGAGGGAGCCGUCGAAGGUGGGGCUCGUGACUGGGGUGAAGUCGUAACAAGGUAGCCGUAGCGGAAGCUGCGGCUGGAUCACCUCCUUUCUAGGGAGCCCUCUUCAACCAGAGGGCACCGGACGUCAGUUCGAUCGCCGUCUUGACUCUUCGGAGUCCGCGGCGCCCUCGGCGAGCGCGUCCGGCCACUAGAUAUGUCGACCGGACCUGGCAGGGCGUACGGCCUAGCUCUCGAGCUCGGCCAAGGCGCCCGCAUGCUGUUGAGUUUUGAGAGACCGGCCCGCUGCCGGCGACUCGCUGGACUACGUGUCCCGGGUCAUCGCGUGGCGGGUUUGCCUCUUCGCGGACCUUGAAAACUGCACAGUAGCCAAUGUAACGGGUAUCACCGGGCGGAAGCCGCAAGGCUUUCUCCCUGUAAAGAUCACCGUCAAGAUAGUAAGGGCACAUGGUGGAUGCCUUGGCACCAAGAGUCGAUGAAGGGCGUGAACGGCUGCGAUAAGCCGCGGUGAGGCGCUGAAUAGCCUGUGACCCGCGGAUGCCCGAAUGGGGAAACCCGG
rnacentral:sRNA from 1 species